GGCAACGCAGAAGGCAGCACAAAGAGUUCCGGCUGUGGACACUUGCAGUUGCAACAUUCACUUGGAGGCUGUGGCAUGCUCACUGAGCUGCAGUGACACGUUGAUUCACUUGUGUGGAUAAGUGGCAGUUCCAGCAUGCUUUAACAAGCGGAUGUAGGCUACUAGCAGAGAGAUACAAUAGCAUAGCUCAGUCUGGAUAGAAAAUAAUACUCAUGCUGCUAUAUAAAUAAAAUAAGAUCUUAGUAUCAAGAUGGCUGACCUGGAAGUCUACUUGUAGCUCUUGUUUCUUAUGCAAAUGAGCUAAAUGUCAGUGGCUUAUUCAGAGGAGGAAGUUCAUUUUGCACGUGUCAAGUUCUCCACAGGAAAUCCAGAAGGACCACCCCUUUCCUAUCCCAAAAGUCAGUGCACAUCACUUUACCUGCUGAAGGCUGCAUCUUGAACUUGUUCUUCGAUGGGGAAUUCACAUCUCACCGUUCCAUGGACUCGUUUCGCCUCUGGCUAGUGGUGGUGACACCAAAUCUAGUCACCAGAAAUUAUGUCAAUCUAGUGAACUGUCACCGUCAGCCUCAUAUUGGUUCUGACAAACUUGCAUACAGUAUUCCUUCUGUUCCUGUGAGCGUCUGUAAGACACAGCUUUGCAGUAUUCCAACACUGCCACCAUUGAAACAUAAAGCUGUUUCAGUCUUUCCAGUGCACUGAAGCCAAUAGGCUGUUAGUACGCUGUUCCUUGGUCAUAAUUUAUGAAUUCGUGAGGAUGAACUGAUUGAGGUAUUCUUCGUUUUGUGGUGUGGCAGCUGUUCAUGGUCAUCUGAAAUGUGGUUUGUCUUUCAUGUUACUGUUGACAUUGCUGAAAAGCACUGUGCACUGCACUACUGUGCUCACAUGCACUGUUUGAUCUCCAUAAAUGUUAAACAAGUGUUGGUCAGUCUCAGUGGGUGCCAAUUUUUUCUGCAUGGACAAGUUCAGUGACACACCUUUGCUCAUACACACUUCCACAUCAGACACCAUUUUGUUAGACCACCUCUCUGCUGCCAUCUGUCACAUGGCAACAAAAUGAAAUGCAAUACUGUUGAAAAGAUAAAGCCUCUACUGCCAUACCACCACCAUCUGCCUCUGACAUCCUAGGCCAACAUAAUAAAAUAGAAGGUAUUAUUUUCAAAGCAAUUCUAGAAUAAUUUAGGUUGGAGUGAAUCUCUAAUCUGGCAUCUUCAAAGGAUGGUAAUCUUAAAAUUAGAUGAGAUUACUUCAGGGUUUGUCAAUAUAAGGUCUGAAAAUCUGCGAGAGUGAAGGUUCCGCAGCCUCUCCAGACAAACUGUUUCAGUGUUUGACCACCCUCGUUGCAAAUAAUGAUUCUCUGCGUCUAUCUGGGAUUUCCACUGUUGCAGGCUCUAUCUGUUGUCAGUGUGCUGUGAAUCUCUGAAGACUGUGGAUUUUGUCUUUAUAAAUGCCAAUUUGCCUAUUGAAGAGAGAAUUAGUUCUCUUUUAGCAGUCUAAUUUUCAUGCUACACAAAUUCAGCUCCCUAGUUUAACCUUAUUUUCCAUGUUCUCCAGUCCUUAACCAUCUUGGUGCUCCUCCGGUUUUUCAUUAUCAGUUGUGUUAGGGGUUUCCUUCCUCCAAGAAAGACAUUCCCUUGAUUUGAAGACAGACUUAAUAGGAUUGCUAACUUAUGGCGCUUAGGUGACAUACGGCUUUGAAGCCUCUAAUAUGUGACUUGAUUGCUCUGGCAACUCUGUAUCUGGGUUAUGUAGGAUGGUGCUGGCGUGACACCUUUCAAAUAGUCGAAAUUUUUCAUUACUGUAUGAGUGUAAGGUUCUCCAGUUGGAACCCUUACAACAUGUUACUAGCCUGACUGAGACCUGGCUACCUAUUUAACCAAACCUUGCCCUGCUAAUGUGGUACUUCCCAAGCUAGCUGCAAAGUGAAAAAGCUGUAGUAUUGCAUCUACUUUCUUUUAUUGGGCAGGAUAAGUCAUGUAACAUAGAUGCCACCACAAGGGCAACAUGUGUAUUCCAAGAAGCUUUGCUGACAAUCUAAGGCAAAUCUGGUAAAAAUAAAACAAUUCUCCAGUCUAGGAGACAAACAGUCAACUCAGGAAUGGAGGAGGCAUUGCAAAACCACUUCAGAGUCUGUUCAUCUGUCACAGAAAAUCCAGCUAUCGUAGAAACUCUCCAGUUAAAACUUAACUCUAGUACCACUUAAACUAGAUGAUACAGGCUCUCAGUUGGUUUGAACAUGCCAUAACUAUUUCUAAUUUAUUAAGAGAUGAACUUCCUUUAGGGAAAGGCUUUGUUUCUGACAGAAAAAUGAUUUUAUCCAACACAAAAUUAGCAUUCAUUUAGCAAGGGUUUUGGAACAACAGCCUGUGGAAUAAUGAAAGCACUUCAACAUCUACAAAACUGGUAAAAGACUGAUUAAUACUUGAGCAGACGAGCUAAAAGUAUUUCUCUCCUAGUAGGUAGUGUCAUUUGCAUGUAUGCAGAAUUCUGAGUGGUUUUUAAUCUUUAUCACAGGGAUGUGUUUAUUUAUGUAAAUCUUAAGUCUGCUAAUGAACACUAUGCAUUCCUGACAUAUUAAUCCCUGUUUACUGUUUACUUUCCCUAUAGGAAGAUGGAAGCACUUUGGUGAUUGGUACUCCACUUAAAAUAAAACAGAAAACAAACUUUUCUUCCCAAAUAGCUGUGGUAGUUAAUUAUUCUGUUCUAGUGCAACGUAUGUAGUACUUUGAAAAUUAUUGGUAGCAUUGUAUUUUUACCCACUAAAGGCCCUCUGUGAUGGUGCUGUAGCCCCUGCAUCUUUUGAGAAUACUGUUAGCAGCAGCCUUCUUUUGGAGAACUGUGCAUCUUGAGAAAAUGAUGGAAAUGUUCAGGGUUCGCUUAAUAUUUAAAAA